rnacentral:rRNA from 1 species
CCUACGGGUGGCUGCAGUAGGGAAUAUUGGGCAAUGGCCGGAAGGCUGACCCAGCCAUGCCGCGUGGAGGAAGACGGCCCUCUGGGUUGUAAACUCCUUUUAUCGGGGAAGAACAGCACUCUUGCGAGGGUGUGUGACGGUACUCGAGGAAUAAGCACCGGCUAACUCCGUGCCAGCAGCCGCGGUAAUACGGAGGGUGCAAGCGUUGUCCGGAUUUAUUGGGUUUAAAGGGUGCGUAGGUGGUCUGAUAAGUCUGGUUUGAAAGUUGGUCGCUU